UUUUUUAUUUUUUAAGUGUAAAAAUGACAUUUUGACAAUUUGUAAAUAAAUGUAAAAAAAAGGAAAACAAAAAAAUAAAAUAAAAGAAGAAACAGAAAAAAGAAAAAGGAAACAAAAAGAAAAAGAAAACAGGAAACAGAAAAAGGAAAAAAGAAAAAUAAAAAAAGAAACAGGAAAAAGAAAAAGGAAACAAAAAUAAAAAGAAAACAGGAAACAAGAAAAAAGAAAAAAGAAAAAUAAAAGAAGAAACA
rnacentral:lncRNA from 1 species